rnacentral:rRNA from 1 species
GAUGAACGCUGGCGGCGUGCCUAAUACAUGCAAGUCGAGCGAACAGAUGAGGAGCUUGCUCCUCUGACGUUAGCGGCGGACGGGUGAGUAACACGUGGAUAACCUACCUAUAAGACUGGGAUGACUUCGGGAAACCGGAGCUAAUACCGGAUCAUAUAUUGAACCGCAUGGUUCAAUAGUGAAAGACGGUUUUGCUGUCACUUAUAGCUGGAUCCGCGCCGCAUUAGCUAGUUGGUAAGGUAACGGCUUACCAAGGCAACGAUGCGUAGCCGACCUGAGAGGGUGAUCGGCCACACUGGAACUGAGACACGGUCCAGACUCCUACGGGAGGCAGCAGUAGGGAAUCUUCCGCAAUGGGCGAAAGCCUGACGGAGCAACGCCGCGUGAGUGAUGAAGGUCUUCGGAUCGUAAAACUCUGUUAUUAGGGAAGAACAAAUGUGUAAGUAACUAUGCACGUCUUGACGGUACCUAAUCAGAAAGCCACGGCUAACUACGUG